rnacentral:lncRNA from 1 species
UUUCUACACUACACAUGAUUCUUACAACACGAGGCUGUUUCUCUACAACCGGGACUCCAACGGAGACGUCAUCGGGGCAGCUGCUGCAGGUACUCCGCCUAAAACACACACAACACACAUUCAAGAAACAAGGAAGAAACGAAAAAAAUAUAAAAAAAUUAUAAACGUAAUCAACUCAUAUAGUAAGAUUUUUUAAUUACUAUGUCAGAUGCUGUAGGAUGAAUAUUCAAUUGGGCCCAACUGCCAACUUUUCUGUUGGUUAUAACUUUCAGGCUUCAGCAGCAUUACUUGUUCUUCUAACUAUACUUCAAGCAUAAUUGGAAACUUACCCAAACAUAGUAAUCCCAAUGUAUAACAUAUUUACCCUCACCAAAAUAUUUCUUUACGGAAAUCGCAUCACAACAUUACCGAUAUUGAAGGAUAAUAGGGUAAAAGGACUAUUUUCUUCACCACGUGACAUCUUUUGAUAACGUUCAUUACUACUGACAAAUCCAGAUCAAGUGAAUUUUUUUUCCUAGAUGAGAAAUACCCUAAACGGUCAUCGCUUUUUACAUCUUAAUUUCAAAAUAAAAAGCAUACAACUAUGUUAUGUUGCCCAUGAAAUGCAGGUUUGGACCUGCUGAAGAAUAUUGAAGUGCAAGCCAUAAUAGGUCCCAUGUACUCGGUACAGGCUAAUUUCCUUAUUUCUCUUGGACAGAAAGCUCACGUUCCUAUUAUUACCUUCUCAGCCACAAGUCCUUCUCUUUCAUCACUAAGGAGUCCUUAUUUCGUUCGGGCUACUCUAAACGACUCUACGCAAGUAAACCCCAUAGUUGCAAUUAUUCAAGCCUUUAAAUGGAAAGAAGUCGUGCCAAUCUAUGAGGAUAACGAAUUCGGGGAAGGGAUUGUACCGUUUUUAAGCGAUGCCUUAGAACAGGUAAAUGUGCGCGUACCUUACAGGAGUGUCAUUCCGUCAUUAGCAACAGACGAACAAAUUGUCGAUGAGCUUAACAAGCUGAAGACUAUGCAAACAAGAGUAUUCAUCGUGCACAUGUUACGCAGUCUCGGUUCUCGCCUGUUCGCCAAAGCAGCACAACUAGGAAUGAUGAGUAAAGAUUACGCAUGGAUAAUAACAGACAGCAUCACAAACGAAUUAACUGCAAUGGAUCCUUCUCUCGUAGCAUCGAUGCUAGGAGUAAUAGGAGUAAAACCUUAUAUUCCACAGACAAAAGAGCUGGACGACUUUGCAAUUCGAUACAAAAACAAGAUUCAGCAGAGCAAUCCAAAAGCUCUAAAUCUGGACAUAUAUGGUAUAUGGGCUUAUGACUCGGCCCUUGCACUAGCCAUGGCAGUUGAAAAAGCAGAGUUAGCAAAUCUUACAUAUCAGAAGACGAACACGUCGACAAAUUCUACAGAUCUUGAAGCCUUUGGGGUAUCGUUAAGUGGACCAAAGCUCAUUCAGGCUUUAUUGAGUAUCACGUUUAGAGGCCUUGCUGGAAACUUCCAAUUAGUCGAUGGCCAACUCCAAGCACCGCCUUACGAAAUAGUCAACAUUGUUGGUCCUGGAGCUAGUGGUAUAGGAUAUUGGACAAAAGAGAAUGGAAUUGUCAACAAACUAAACUUCAGUAGUUCAAGCGCAAGCGCAUAUUCAACUUCCAAAGACAACCUCGGAUCAAUUACAUGGCCAGGCAACGAAUCAUCGCCACCUAAAGGUUGGGUGGUUCCAACAAAAACCAAGAAAAUGAGAGUAGGCGUGCCUGUAAAGGAUGGUUUCACUGAAUUCGUCCGUGUUACAUGGAAUUCCGACAAUUCUACGACAGUGGAAGGAUUCUGCAUAGAUAUUUUUGAUGCGGUGAUGAAAGCACUACCAUAUGAUGUGCCGUAUGAAUACAUUCCAUUUGCAACUCCUGAUCACAAGAUGGCUGGAGAUUAUAAUGAAAUGGCCUAUCAAGUGUACCUUGGAGUAAGUAUUUUCCCUUUUCUUAUUGAAUUUAAAAAUCAAAUACAUUUUCUAUCAGCACAAAGCAAGAUGCACUAUACUAUGCCUGAAUUCUUCUAUUCUCUGCUUAUUGAUGAAUAGAACUAUGACGCUGUGGCUGGUGACGUAACAAUUCUAGGAAAUAGGUCUCAGUACGUAGACUUCACUCUGCCUUUUAUAGAGUCUGGUGUUUCGAUGGUUGUACCGAUCCCAGAGGAUAAGAAGGGAAAUACAUGGAUAUUAGUGAAGCCAUUGACUUGGGAGUUGUGGUCAACAAUAUUCUUCUUUUUUGUUAUAAUUGGGAUUUUGGUUUGGCUUCUUGAACGCCCAGAAAAUAGAGAUUUCAGAGGGUCUCGUUGGGACCAAUUUUGCAUGAUAUUCUGGUUCAGCUUCUCCACCAUGUUCUUUGCUCACAGUAAGCUACCUUUCAUCUUUUAAACUACAGUAAGUCCUUUUUUACCAAAUAUUAAAACCUACUUAAUUAACUCUGCCAAUUUUGGCAUUGACUUUUUUUUUUUUUGGUAGAGGAGAAGGUGAAAACCAACUCCGCCAAGAUAGUGGUGAUUGCAUGGCUAUUGGCGGUAUUUAUAUUAACCCAAGGCUAUGCUUCCAGUCUUACAUCCAUGUUAACAGCCCAGCAGCUGAUAGUGAAUGAUGUUAAUGAGCUUAUAAGAAACAAGGACUAUGUAGGCUACUCGAAUACAUCGUUUGUAUAUGGAUUUCUGAAAAACCUUUUUAACGAGUCGCAACUUCGGCCUUUCAACUCAGCAGAGGAAAUGGAUGAACUUCUCUCCAAAGGGAGUGCAAAUGGUGGAAUAGCAGCUGCCUUUCAUGAGAUCCCAUAUAUAAAGAUGUUUCUAGGCAAAUACUGUUCGAAAUACAUGAUGGUCGGACCCACUUAUAAGGCUGCUGGUUUCGGAUUUGUAUGUGACCCUCUUCACUAUAUAUAUGUUUUCAUUUUUUAUUUUUAUUUUUGCUUUCUAGACUCUCUUUCUCUCUUAUUUGCAGGUUUUUCCAAUAGAUUCUCCUCUAGUACCUGAUGUUUCGAGAGAAAUUUUGAAUGUGACUGAGGUUCAAAAAAUGGUGGAUAUUGAAAAGAAGUGGUUGGGAGAUGAGUCCAAAUGUCCAGACACUGACACCAAAAGUAUUGGCCUAUCAAGCUUCAGGGUAGUCUUUAUUAUUGUAGGAACAGUUGGAAUAGCAGUGGUCAUAAAUUAUAUGAUUAGACAAGGACGUGAAAAUAAGAAUGUCCAUAAAGAUGAUCCCCCAAUUGUCCAUAAUGAUCCCCCAAUUGUCCAUAAUGAUCCCCCAAUUGUCCAUAAUGAUCCCCCAAUUAUCCAUAAUGAUCCCCCAAUUAUCCAUAAUGAUCCCCCAAUUGUCCAUAAUGAUCCCCAAUUAUCCAUAAUGAUCCCCCAAUUAUCCAUAAUGAUCCCCCAAUUAUCCAUAAUGAUCCCAAAAUUGUCGAUAAUGAUCCCACAAUUGAGAGACAGAUAUAUGAGUUAUGGCAGUCACUAAAGACUUUCAAGGAAAGACUAACACCUAAACUCUAGCACAUGUGGCUGUCAGGUUUCUGUUUACCUCAAAAUAAAGAUUGGUGUGCGACUCUUAAUUGAGGAGGUGGUAUCCUAAUUUCUAAAUCUCAUUCUACGUGUUUCGUAAUUUUUUUCCCCUUAAAUUCUCUUUCUUGAAAUAACGUGAUUAACUUCUCUUCUGAGAAUAUCUUCUUGGGACUUUGAUCGGCAAGUUCUCUUAUGUUUUGUUUCAUGUUCUAACCUUUUGCUUUUACUGUGAUUAUGAUACAUAAAUUUGAACUUUGUUUUGGUUAUGUAUAUCCUCAUAAAACUUUAUCCAAAAGUUUGCAUUUUUUAUCGAUUCCUCAUUGACUCUUGUAAGUUGUAAGGGUGUGAGAGUGAGACUAAGAAAUGUGUUCGAAAUCAUGACAUAGAAACUCAAAUUUUUGCUGUCUUGGAAAGUUCUACUCACCCCUUACAUAUUCCCACUAUAAUUCCCUCUCGUCAAACAUAUUUGGAUUCUUCUACAUUAUAGCUUUUACGAUGGAAAAACUUAAGCUAACAGUGAAAAUGAGAUGCACAAGGAAUUAAAUGUUUACUGAGGAAUGACAAUCAUUACGAGCACGACAAUGGAAGUAAGGAGAUAAUUUCUAGGAGUUCAUAUUUGGGUACCGAGUAAGAAUUUGAGUAUCCUUGUCUAACAUGUUGAGCUUCGUGCCGCACGUGCAGACGUAUCUGAUCGAGGUCUCCUUUCUCCAAUUCUUCUUCUUCUUUUUGCCAAACUCAACUACAUUUGUACACAAUGAAUCACUCAAAGUCAGUUUUACCAAUAAAAAAGGACAAAAGGAAAAAAAAUCAAAUUUACAUUAUUUACUCAGCUCUGUGAUUACAUGGAAGUUGGAAAUAAAACAGAAUCCUUCUGUGAAUCUUGAGAAUAUAUUUUGUAAUUUACGCAGAGUGUUUUACGGGCUACGAAACAUUCCAAUUUUUCAAUAACAUGCAAUAUUUAAAUUAUGUUCUAAAAUUGCGAACACUCUCUUGAGUAAUUACAAUACAAAAUACCCUAAAUUUAAUUUUAAUUUACAGGUAAUUGGAAAGGUGUAAUCUGCAAGUGGAAUGGAUUGGGAAAUGAGUAGAGAAAAGAAUGACAAGUAGACUAUGAGUGUGCUUGUCUUCACGUCUUGAGCCUUAUGGAAAGUUGACCUUUCUGGUCGAAGACUUAUUUAUAUUCUUCUUCUUGACCAAGUCAACACACACGUACACACCCAAUCAAAUUUGAACCCCGUCCUCUCCCACACCCCACAGUGAGAGAAAAAGCCACAAUACCAACCUAAGGCCUUAAUUGACGAUAAAAGGUUACCUUUAACAAAUAGUCAAUAGGAUACAAGGACUGUUGGUGACGAAACCAAUAGGUAUUUUAUAUUUUGGAAUAAAUUACAGAAACUAUUUAAGACUUGUGCUAUUUGUAAAAGUAAAAUAAAGGGAAAGAUCAUAUAACUUUUCGGAUCAGCUUAAAAAUUACCAACCAUUUUUUUCAUCAAGUUGCAUGCAUGUUGGUGAUACGUCAUUGACUUCACAAAAGUAAACUCUAUGAUUCUUUCAGCACACACCAUGCUGGAUUAUAUAUAUAUUCUGUAUUAUACACAUAGCACAGACCAUGUUUUGGGCCCUACCUAUAUUUUAACUGUGGAUGUGACAGUUGAAGACAAACCCUUCAAACAAUGGUAACCAAACAAUGAUCAUUCUCUCAAGUCUCAAACAUGCAAAAUUUAGGAAAAAAGGAUAUGGAGAAGAGAAGAAUUACCUGCAGCAAACCAAUUCUGCAUCUCUUCUUUUAUUUAUUGAUCACUUUGAAGAUUUUUCCUACAAAAAUGGCGACGGCUCAGAACAUCACUGUAAGAGUAGGGGUUGUGUUAAACAUGGAUGGUUUUGGACAGAUGUCAUUCAACUGCUUAUCAAUGGCGCUUACGGAUUUCUACUCUACGCACAAACAAUAUAGAACGAAGCUGGUUCUUACCGACCGGGACUCCAAAGACGAUGCCGUUGGAGCAGCUGCAGCAGGUACUCUGCCUAUAAAAAAACAUAUAACACACACUCAGGAAAUAAGGAAGAAGAAAUAGAGGAAACAAAAAGUUAUAAUUUGAUUUAGCCUAUUAACUAUUCAAUGAUUUUCUUAUUCUUGUUCUGAGGUCUCCCAUGUGAAACAAUGGGUCAAUCGCUUUGUCUUGUCUGAAAAUGGAUGUUAUUAAUUAAACUAGUUGGCAAUCAAGAAAUUCUAUAAAUUUCAAAUUACAAUUCUGUAGGAACAAUCCAUAAUGAUUUUUUUGGGUAUGGCAUUUUAGUCUGUCCGGGAAACAAGUUUAUGUAUAAGAAAGAGUAAACGCUCUACUACUAUAUUGUUAGUUUCUUGCUCAAGUUCAACAGAACAAGAUGUUACUAGAUAUCACAGGGCCAAAAAACACUCUUAUUUAUCUGUUCCUCACAGGCUAGUUUGCUUAAGCAUUAUACAUAUUUUUCCCAAUAAAAGCUAUAAACUUUUCCUAGUUGUAUAAGUGAGAUUUUAAAAAAAAUUUAAGCCCACAAAACUUCAAUUUUCAAGAAAGGAGGAAGAACAUUGAAAUAUUAAAAUUUUCUAAAUAUUCACUCAAGAUGUGGCUGUAUCUACUACUAUUCAGUUCUUUACAUGGAAAAAUUGUGUUGAAGUACUAGCUGAAAUAUUACCAUAUACUGGGAAAGUGCAAACAGAUUCAAGAUGCACCUUCCAGAAUGUAGGCAAUCGACUGAUGAACGUUUUGUUGCACAUGAAAUGCAGGUCUGGACCUACUGAAGAACGUUGAAGUGCAAGCAAUCAUAGGUCCCGUGUACUCAAGUCAGGCUAACUUCCUUAUUUCUCUUGGACACAAAGCUCAUGUUCCUAUUAUUACCUUCUCAGCCACAAGUCCUUCUCUUUCAUCACUUCGGAGUCCAUAUUUCAUCAGGGCUACUCUAAAAGACUCUUCACAAGUAGGCGCCAUAGUUGCAAUUAUUCAAGACUUUGGAUGGAGAGAAGUUGUGGCCGUUUAUGAGAACACUGAAUUUGGAGAAGGGAUUCUACCAUUUCUGACUGAUGCCUUAGAACAGGUAAAUGUGCGCGUACCUUAUAGGAGUGUCAUUUCACCAUCAGCAACAGAUGAUCAAAUCCUUGCAGAGCUUUACAAGUUGAUGGCUAUGCAAACCAGAGUUUUCAUCGUCCACAUGUUGAACCCUCUUGCUUCUCGCCUGUUCACCAAAGUGAAGCAACUAGGAAUGAUGAGUAAAGAUUAUGCAUGGAUAAUAACAGAUAGCAUCACAAACGAUUUAAACUCAAUGGAUCGUUCUGUCAUAGCAUCUAUGCUAGGGGUAAUAGGGGUAAAACCUUAUGUUCCACAGACAAAGGAACUGGACGACUUUACAACUCAAUACAAGAAAAAGGUUCUGCAGAGCAAUCCAAAAGCCCUUGGUGUGGACAUAUACGGGCUAUGGGCUUAUGACUCAGCCAUUGCACUAGCCAUGGCAGCAGAAAGAGUAGGGUUAGCAAAUCUUACAUAUCAAGAGACAAACAUGUCUACAAGUUCUACAGAUCUUGAAGCCUUUGGAGUAUCAUUAAGUGGACCAGAGCUGAUUCAGGCUUUAUCAAACAUCACAUUCAGAGGCCUUGCUGGAGAUUUUCGAUUGGUCGAUGGUCAACUCCAAGCGCCUCCAUACGAGAUAGUCAAUAUGGUAGGUCCAGGAGCUAGAGGCAUAGGAUAUUGGACGAAAGAGAGUGGGAUUGUUAAAGAACUGAACAUCACAAUUGCAUCCAAAAAAAACUAUGCCACUUCCAAGUCCAACCUUGGGCCCACUAUAUGGCCAGGCGACGAACCAUCUCCACCUAAAGGUUGGGUGGUUCCUACGAGAGGGAAGAAACUGAGAGUAGGAGUACCUGUAAAGGCUGGUUUCACUGAUUUCGUUCGUGUAACUUGGAAUUCCGACAAUUCUACAACAGUGGAAGGAUACUGCAUAGAUGU